ACUAGUUGUCGGUAACUUUGGAAGUGUUCUGGAUGUUGUUAUCACUGCACUAUCCUCAUCUUCUUCGGCACCUGGAGACAAAAUGUAACACUUCCAAACUUACUGACAACUAGU